CACACACACCAAAGCCAUGAAGAAAACAUCUUCAGCGUAUAAAAUACCCUCCAAUGGGAUUCUGUGCAAGGAAGACAACACAAUCAUUUCACACUCCGGGUGCCUUCACACUUCGCGUUUGGUUAAAAGGAACUCUGGUGCAUUUGCUCGACGAGGACGCUUUGUUUGGGCAAGAACACGGUGUUUGGAAUAGUGUGACGGGCGGCGGCCUACGCCAGAGGGUCCACGAGAGGCUCCUCCUCUGCGCGGCACAGCAGCUCCUUCUUCUCGUCCGUGCUGGCCAGAGAGUUGCGGCUGUUGUGAGCGCCCAUGUACAGCGUGGCGUACACUGGAUUGGUGAAGUUGGUAGGCUGUGAGGGCGGCACCAAGGAAACAUGAAACAUCAGGCGGCGUGUAGUAGGGGUGUAAUGAUGCUCCGACAAGGAAAAACCUAAUUCCUCACGGACAUGGUGACCCACCCCGAGCUAGAUGAGCCCGCCCCGUGAUAGCUAUGAGAAAAAACAACAACAACAACAAAAGGCUUCGCUACACAUCUUAAAAUAAAGCCUGUAAGUUUGAUAAUUUUAUGUAUCUUCUUUUGCAUGAUGCUGCUGUUAAAAUAUGACUAAUGUUGGCACCAAUAAAUGAUCAUUUUCCUGGCCAUCCAGGGGAGGACUCGCCAUCGGGAGUACUGGGAGUUUUCCCGGUAGACCGAUCAAUAAUGACGACCAUUUACUCAUUCAUCCUUUCAUUCAAUCAUUCAUUCAUUUUCCAUGCCACUUGUCCUCAUUAGGGAUGUGGGGGUAUGCUGGAGCCUACGGGUGAGAGGUGAGGUACACCCUGGACUGGUCACUAGCCAAUCACACUCACAUUCAUACCUAUGGACAAUUUAGAGUCUCCAAUUAACCUAACAUUCAUAUUUUUGGAAUGAACGUGCAAACUCCACACAGAGAUGACUGAACAGAGAUAUGAACCCAGAUCUUCCAGAUCUCCUGACUGUGUGGCCAACAUGCUAACAACUAGGCUACCGUGCGGCCCACGCCUGUUUAUUUAUGGAUUUAUUGCUGCGCCUCAGUAACUACAAUAAUUAACUCUCGUGGGUUGGCCAGGGAACUCGCUGCUGCAGCCACAACACAACACAAGGUUGUCUCUCUUCAGGGGAGAGGGACAUUUUGCACAAGGGGGCGCAUUUUCAGUAAAUGUGCAAAGGAUGUGCAAAAUGUCCAGGAGCCUCAUCUGUGCGUGGAAACUGUGCGUGGAAACUUGACUAAAAGUCUCCAUAUGCCAGACACCCAAAAUGUGCGUAUGGACAAAAAUAGCCAGCGCUAUAAAAAGUGGCAUAUGGACACAUUCACGUAAUUUGUGGUUUAUACUAGAUCCCACCUUCAGUGGAAGUGUGCAGACGCAACUCCGCCUCAAGUCACGCCCUUCCCACACCUGCACUUCAACAUAAAGGUCAAUGCAAAGUGACUCAUGAAGACGUCGGUGACAAAGAAGCGGACUUUCACGGAAGCGGAGGUGGAAACACGAGAAAAAGUAUCAUAUUUGGAAGACACAGCAGUGGCAUAACAAAUAAAGAUUGAGUGACAGCAUGUCCGCUGUAAUGGAGCAAGAUGAACCGUGGCAAAACUUUAAAAAAUAGUGGUCUGAUAUCAAGGCACACAUUUCCAUUUUUAGUGAGCAUGUUUCUACAUUUUUCCUAAUUGAUACCAAUUUUGAAUAUAAGCCUACCAAAAUCUGUUUAAUUUAAAGGUAAAUGCAAAGACUCAAAACGGGGUUUUGAAGUUAUGUCAAAAAUUGAUGUAAUUGCAGACAGAUAUUUUCAAAAUACUUAACUUAAUGAUGACUUUAAUGUCAUCAAAAUAUUGGGUAUAUUAUAAUUUUAUGAAGUGUUAAUGUUGUGUAUUAGUCCAAACAAAACCAAAACCCCAUCAUUUGUGGAAAAGAAAAAUGAAAAAAAAGGAAAAUGAUAAGAGUAAAUUUACGUACACGAACGGACCUGGCACAAUAAAUGUUGCUAUUCAUGACAUACCGGUAUUUGACAUAUGCAACAAAAAAUGUCCUUAUUUUUUAUAAAUUGUCCAAAAAAAAGGGAACGGAGGACAUAUUAGCGCUGUGUCUUGUAAACUUAAACCCUAGAAUUAUUUAAUUGACAACUUGUUUGUUAAAAAUAAUAUAAUCGAACACAUAAUAUUCUCACAAUGAUAAAAUAAAAUUAUGAAAUAUUCAAGCGCUGCGUUGUGUUUUUCAUGUAUCUUUUAGUCCGUAUACCACGCUGGCACGUAAUGGUGUUUAUGACAAAUGACAAAUAAUAUCCAUCAGCGUCAUGUAAAAUAGCAACACUUUCCACAAAUGUUUUUCACUCAAUAACGGCAUGAUGUUUUCAUGCAAUGACGGAUAACUUUCUUGGCUUCAAUUUCUUGGCUUCAAUUGCAUUUUUAUUUCUAACAUGAUUUCCCUUCACCACUUAAAAUGUGAGGCGCCUUUUUGCCAUGUCUCCAAAAAUACGUUGGCGCAUAUUCUCACGCCACGUUGUGUUUUUAUAGAUCACAUA